GGGCAGCUCACCGGAUAAGACAGCUGGAUGAUAGCCGGGCUGAAGACUCUGCUUGACUAGCUGAGAGGAGGUGCAUGGCCGUCGUCAGUUCGUACUGUGAAGCAUCCUGUUAAGUCAGGCAACGAGCGAGACCCACGCCAACAGUUGCCAGCAUGUCCUCCGGGAUGAUGGGGACACUGUUGGGACCGCCUCUGCUAAAGAGGAGGAAGGAAUGGGCAACGGUAGGUCAGCAUGCCCCGAAUUAUCCGGGCUACACGCGGGCUACAAUGGUCAGGACAAUGGGUAUCGACACCGAGAGGUGGAGGCAAUCUCCUAAACCUGUCCUUAGUUCGGAUUGUGGGCUGCAACUCGCCCACAUGAAGCUGGAAUCCGUAGUAAUCGCGUUUCAAAAUAGCGCGGUGAAUAUGUCCCUGCUCCUU
rnacentral:rRNA from 1 species